UCCGUCUAGCUUCUGUAUAUCAUUUAUUGCUUGUAUAGUUGUAGAGAUGGAUAACAUGAUUCUCAAGUAUACCAAAUGAAUAUUUGUUUCGCCAGACUCGGAAGGUAAUAUUUCGUUAGGACAGGUGGAUGGUAAAAUUCCUGAGACGUUCCAUACUGAUGUAAGUCAUUGGUUGUAUAUCGAAAUUAGGUGAAUUUUAAUUUUUCGUGUCUGUUAAACAUGAAUAUUUUGGUGAUCUUGCUUUCACGAGUUUUUUUUUAAAAAAAAAUCUUUACAAACAUUGUGUAACGGGUUGGAGGAAAAAUAUGUAUAACACUAGUGAGCCGCAUUGGGUGCACGUGAAAAGAAUUACCAAAUAUCUUUAAAUCAA